rnacentral:misc_RNA from 1 species
GGAAGUAAAAUCGUAACAAGGUCUCCGUUGGUGAACCAGCGGAGGGAUCAUUACAGGACUCGCAAGACUCCUUCACCCUGUGAACCUCACUACAAGCACGUUGCUUCGGCGGGUGUCCCGGCGGGGGUUUUCCCUCGCCGGGGCGCACAGCCCGCCGGCAGCCUACUAUACUCUGUCUCUUUGCGUUGGCAUCUCGAGAAAAAACAAACAAGUUAAAACUUUCAACAACGGAUCUCUUGGUUCUG